GAAGCAGCAGAAAGCUCUGACUCAGAUGCAGAACACGAGCCAAGAGAAAAGAGCUGAGGAGGAAGUCGCAGGAACACACGUCCUUUCUUAUGGUC